UGAGCCUACGAUAACCGUCAAAGACAUUCCACGUGUUGUCCAUCUGUUUCCAAUAAAAAAUGAAAAUACAUUAGCUGAAUUAGAGCAGUGGCUUAAUGCAGAUGAUCAAAAUAAAAAAGAUUUGAUUAUUGAAUUAAGUCGCGUUGGGGGCUUAAAUGUUAAAGAGAUCACAAGAAGAAUUAUGUACAAAAUCUUCACAAAUGAAGUUGGAAUACUAUACUCCUGGGAAGGAGCUAAAGGAAAGAAAUCCUUCAAAAAUCUAGCAAUAAGUUCGGUCAUUUUGGGUGCUGUUCGAUAUUGCAAGAAUACAGCCGAUGCAACUGAAGCAGAAGUUAUUAGUUUUAUCAAAUCUUGGCUGGUUAGAUGCAAAGAUCGUAUCUGCAAUGUCACUAAAAACGUGAAGAAUGUAGCAACCGAAGGGGAAGUAACGAUGAACGAAACCGAUAC